rnacentral:rRNA from 1 species
UACGUAGGUGGCGAGCGCUAUCCGGAAUUACUGGGCGUAAAGCGCACGCAGGCGGUCUGAUAAGUUUGGUGUGAAAACUCUGGGCUAAACUUGGAGAGGACACUGAAGACUGUGAGGCUUGAGGGAGCGAGAGGGGUGUGGAAUUCCCGGUGUAGUGGUGGAAUGCGUAGAGAUCGGGAGGAACACCAGAGGCGAAAGCGACACCCUGGCGCUAGCCUGACGCUCAGGUGCGAAAGCGUGGGGAGCGAACGGG